GUAGGUGAACCUGCGGAAGGAUCAUUACUGAUUUGCUUAAUUGCACCACAUGUGUUUUGUUCUGGACAAACUUGCUUUGGCGGUGGGCCCCUGCCUGCCGCCAGAGGACAUAAACUUACAACCAAAUUUUUUAUAAACUUGUCACGAGAUUAUUUUUAAUAGUCAAAACUUUCAACAACGGAUCUCUUGGUUCUCGCAUCGAUGAAGAACGCAGCAUCUGACUGACUACUCCGAGGAUUAUCUCGUAUGC
rnacentral:misc_RNA from 1 species